CAUCGUAGAACACAGGCAGUA
rnacentral:miRNA from 1 species